rnacentral:misc_RNA from 1 species
GAUGAAGAACGCAGCGAAAUGCGAUAAGUAAUGUGAAUUGCAGAAUUCAGUGAAUCAUCGAAUCUUUGAACGCAUCUUGCGCUCCUUGGUAUUCUGAGGAGCAUGCCUGUUUGAGUGUCAUUAAAUUCUCAACUACACUGACUUUGAAUUGGUGUGGCUUGGAUUUGGGGGGAAAAUUGUUGUGGACUUUUUGUAUAGUCUGCUCCCCUGAAAUUGAUUAGCGGUACCUUUGUGGAACUGUCUACAGGUGUGAUAAUUAUCUACAUCUUAGACAUCUGCUGGAAUGCUGCUUUCUAAACCUUACUUGUAUUGACAAUCUUGACCUCAAAUCAGGUAGGACUACCCGCUGAACUUAAGCAUAUCAAUAAGCGGAGGA